UACGUAGGGUGCAAGCGUUGUCCGGAAUUAUUGGGCGUAAAGAGCCGUAGCGGUUUGUCGCGUCUGCUGUGAAAACUCGGGGCUUAACCCCGGGCCUGCAGUGGGUACGGGCAGACUAGAGUGCGGUAGGGGAGACUGGAAUUCCUGGUGUAGCGGUGGAAUGCGCAGAUAUCAGGAGGAACACCGGUGGCGAAGGCGGGUCUCUGGGCAGUAACUGACGCUGAGGAGCGAAAGCGUGGGGAGCGAACAGG
rnacentral:rRNA from 1 species